rnacentral:misc_RNA from 1 species
GCUGAAGAACGUAGCGAAAUGCGAUACGUAAUGUGAAUUGCAGAAUUCAGUGAAUCAUCGAGUCUUUGAACGCACAUUGCGCCCUCUGGUAUUCCGGAGGGCAUGCCUGUCCGAGCGUCAUUGCUGCCCUCAAGCACGGCUUGUGUGUUGGGCCCCGCCCCCCGAUCCCGGGGGGCGGGCCCGAAAGGCAGCGGCGGCACCGCGUCCGGUCCUCGAGCGUAUGGGGCUUUGUCACCCGCUCUGUAGGCCCGGCCGGCGCCUGCCGAUCAACCAACCUUUUUUCCAGGUUGACCUCGGAUCAGGUAGGGAUACCCGCUGAACUUAAGCAUAUCAAUAAGCGGAGGA